UACGUAGGGUGCGAGCGUUAAUCGGAAUUACUGGGCGUAAAGCGUGCGUAGGCGGUUCGUUAAGUUCGUUGUGAAAGCCCCGGGCUCAACCUGGGAAUGGCAUUUGGGACUGCAAGGCUGGAGUUUGGCAGAGGAGACUGGAAUUCCUGGUGUAGCAGUGAAGUGCGUAGAUAUCAGGAGGAACACCGAUGGCGAAGGCAGGUCUCUGGGCUGAAACUGACGCUCAAGCACGAAAGCGUGGGGAGCAAACAGG
rnacentral:rRNA from 1 species